GAUAAUCAUAUGAAAACCAGCAUUGGCACGUUUUUAGCAGACGAAGUUGGAAGAGGUGAACAUGGACACAAGUUACAAAAAGAAAAAGAAUUGGAUAAAGAAGAAAGAAGGAGAUACAGGGAAAAAAAAGAACAUGCCAUUAGGCAAGAAAAAGACAGACUUUCUAAAGAGAGAAGUCAUAAAUCUUACGCAAAGGAAGAGGAAGAAAGACAUAAGUCAGAGAGGUCUACAGAAGAAUAUUCCCAUGGAGACAGAGGACAACUGGCAGAAGACAGGAAGAGAGUAAAAAGUGGAGAAAUGGAAAGAAAGCAGCUUGAUCUUAGGAAGAGUGAACGCAGAACAGAGGAGGAAAAUCAAGGAGAAGAAAUGAGCCAUGAGCUUGUAAGGAAGAAACAGUGAUUUUUUUUCUUAGAAAAAACCUCAAAACUCAACAGUGCUUUCUUCUGAGCUAACUGUUAAAAUUCGUGUUCGGUUUUUCAACAGGACUGGAAAAGAUAAAGGAAAAAUCAGUGAAAAAGAGAAAAGAGACGCAAGUCAAGAGGUAAAAAUACUUAAUUUUGAUCAUAGAAUAUUGUGUUUUCUCUUGGAUUAAUAACAACUACAAUGUGUAUUUCAAUACAGUGUAAUUUUACCAUUCCGAGCUGAUCUUUAUGUAUAUUCCUUGAUCUUCAGAUAUCUAUCACAAUCUCUUUUCAGAUGUAGCAUCAGAAAGUGGCUUUAUUCUGUAUAAAUUUGCCAAGCAUUAAAGGCAGCCAUAUAUUAAUCUUUUAUCAGUAUCUUCUACACUUGAAAAAGCAAUUCUCAGUAGGUGGGAAGACUUCAGGCAUACGUAAGGUAAAAUAAACUACAUUUAUCUAUAGUUACUCUAAACA
rnacentral:lncRNA from 1 species